AGAAAUGUUACAGGGAUUGUGCUCCACCUUUCUCCUUCCUGCUGGGAUAUCCUUUCUGUAGAGAAAUGUAAACAUAUCAAGCUGAGUCUACGCUGGUUGCAGAAGUGCGCCACUAUUUUCGUAUUUUUAUGACAUAUGAGUUACUCAGCCAAAGAAAUUAUGUUGAAAGUCCAACACUAAGUUCCGUGAAUAUUCCAUGAAUAUCAGCUCUUGGAAAGAAAACAGUGAUAGAUCAGGAGGAUGCAUUACUGGACUUAACAAGCCAUGGACACCCAUGAAUCCACAUGAUGAAAAUUGAGAGGAUGGAGGCAGAGAGACACAGAGAUGGAGAGAGAUGGAAGGAAAGAGUGCUGCUGCUAUCGGAGCCUUCUCUGCAUUUCCCCUUCUUCGAGAGAUUAUCCUUGCAGAGCCCUGCAGGAUCCUGGGGACUAGGGACAGGAAGGGACUCUGAAACUCUGCCUGAAAUAGAAAACAGCACAAGAGGCUGCUAUUCCACAAAGUCCCAGGAAGAGUGGGAAAAAGAGAGGAAAAAAAACAUUAAUGUAGGAAGUAAAUCUGCUCAGCGUUUUAUCCCAACAUCCUGUCCUCCUGCUGCUUUUUAUAUGACCUUUUGCACUGCACAGAAUUCAUUACUAUUGUAAAAAACACGGUUUUGUUUCUUAGAAAAUUUCAAGAAAUGUGUGAUCUGUUUUAAAGUAGACAGGAUUCACAAGUGGCAAAAAUAUGUGUUCUUCCAAAUCCUUUUCCUUCAUUAUCAGCUCCAGAAGUUUGCUAAUUAGACCCACUAAACAAAAACACCUCAGCAAUAACACAGUGCAGAAGGAACGGAGAAAACUUCAUAAUUGCAAUUUUAUUUAUUAUUUCACUGCAGGACAGCACAGGAACCUUAACCAGGUCAAGACUUCAUUGUGUCAGGUGCUGUACACACAAAAAAAUAGCAGUUCCUGCUCCAGGAAACGUGAAAUUUUUGCAUGUAUUUAUAGCCAAGCUUGUGGCCCCAUGGUAACUCAUUUAGUGAUUACCUCCACAAAUGCUAGUGAAGGCACCCAGAAACAUAUUUUGCAGGGUACAAACAUCUGUGGUUUCCCUGAGGCUGAAGCCCAGUGUACUUUCCCUGCCACAGAAGGGUAAUAGGGCCUUAGAGUAAAUGGAGUGGAAUAAGGACCAAAACACUUUGUGUUCUUUAAAUGAAAGGCACUUUAUACACACACGUAUGUUUACUGAAAGGCCUUUCAAAGAGGCAUAAUUAUGCAGGCAUCUCUGUGUAAUUCGCCUGGGUCAAUGCUAAUGUUGGAAAGUACUUAUUCUGUGG
ensembl:lncRNA